AAAUCUGUACCCCUCCUCCAUUCUCCAGCUUGCUUUAUCGUUAGAUACGGCUUGUCGCGGUCGUUUCGAUUUACGGGUCUCCCGAAUCCAUAGGCGGCUCGUGGACAGGGUACUAGUCGGAUGAACUGGUGGAGAUAGGUUUGUGCCGGAAGGGUUAGGUUUUGAUUUUGUAGUUAGUUGAUUAGGGUCCGGAGUUGGUCAGAUCCGGGGGCUGGGGGCGGCCGGUAUUUGUCAGAUCCAGCGGCUCCCUUGCCCAUGAUUUCAAGGUGGCUCCCCACGACGUUGGUGGCUGGUGGUUGGUGACGGCGCGCGGCAGGACUUGCAUCCACAACGUAUUCAGGCGGCCGCUCCGGCCUGGUGGCUGCAUCACGCAGGCCCAGGCCCCGAGAGGUACCCGCGCCCGCGUGGUUCGCUGCUGCGGCGAGGCCCCUCCUCCCCAAUCGCCAUGCAGGCUGUGCCCCCUUCUCCCAAGGCGGCCGCUCCGCUCCAACCGAGCGCCGCUACGCAGGCCAUACUGGCUCGCAGGGCUUCACUAAUGCGCAAGCCGCGGCUGGUGGUAUAUGGCUCCCUUGUUCAGGCCGACCUCGGUGGUGGCAUCACCAUCAUGGUGUGGAGGUGGUGCUGCCCAGCAGGAACUCUAGGCAAAAAAUCUUUCCUGAUCUUGUGUCGGUGUCGGCAAUGGUGGCCUUUUCUUUUUGCAUUGUUUCCCCUCAGAGGCGUUGUCGUGGUAUCUCUUGCGACCGUUGGUGGAUCUUCGGGUGAAAACCUAAUUCUAGCUUGCCAGAUGAGGCGGUGACGGCGUCUUUGAUGUUGUUUCUUCUUGGAGCGCCACCUUGGAGGUCCUUCGGUCUGCCUUUGUUACCUCAGCGGCAUUAGACAAUUCGAACAUCAAGUUUCUAAGACGUUAGAUGUGAUGGUUUGUUGCUGCAUUAGACUUCGCAAGAAUGAAACGUGAACGAAGAAGAUUGAAGAGCUUAGUCUUCUAGUUUUUUUCAUUGUUUUAGAGUUUCUUUCAUAUGUUAUUGAAAUCCUCAUUUGAGGUAUAGAGUCAAGAGUCAACUCUUGUAACUCUUUGGCUGUAUAUAUCCACAUGUGGAUAUAGAGGCCAGUUUAUCCUUUGUCUAAAAAAAGGCUCAGGAGUUGGUGUGAUGAUAUUUUUUUACUUCAAGCAGUGUUUCAGCAUAAAAUCCUGUAAAAUGAACUGGGAGUCAUUUAUGCUAGCUCUGCAGCUUCCUUGACUCAGUUUCUAGUCAGAAGCAUUCGGCACAUAAAACAGUUCUGUUUACUCCUAAUUAUGCAUCACUUGCAAAAA